rnacentral:lncRNA from 1 species
CCUGGCUUAUGUAAAAAUCAUAGGGAAUACUGGGUAAAUCUGGGCACUUCCUUGGCUACAGACUGGUCACCAAGGAAGGCCUAGGCCAAACUACCACAAUGUCCUUGAGGGAAGCCUGGAAGCCCUGUAGACUGAUCAAUGUUUGUAGACUCUCAGUGUUGAUACAAGAUGAGCUGGGCUAGACGUAAUUCUGAUAAAGGCCUUGAGAAAAGGAAAUGCGAAACUUUGGAGGCACUUUGAGUCCUUAUCUUGCUGGGAACUGACCUCCAGGCUUUGGGGAAAUUGUACUGUACAGAUGGCAUUUUCCAUCUGAAACCACCUAUUGUGGAGGUCAUCUUGCAAAAGGGAGUCUCAAAGCCUGGGAAGGGUUCCACUGCAGAUGGUCAGUGUAUAAGGCCAGGGAGAAUUGUUCCUUAGCCAGGGAAAAGGCUUCAGAUUUUACAAUGAGAUUGGGAUCCAUGAACAUCCAAGUGUAG